UGAGGUGUAGCUCAGGGGUAGAGUGCAAGCCUAGCAAGUGUGAGACCCUGGGUUAAAACCCAGCACCUUAA
rfam:Heterocephalus glaber contig217873, whole genome shotgun sequence.